rnacentral:rRNA from 1 species
GUGCUGGUCGGCACGCUCAUCUUCGUGCUUCUUUUCGCCGUGUUCUGCUACCGCUCGGACAACGGCGCGCGACCCGUACCCCAGUCCUACGCGGUGGUGUCAGACCACGUGAUGAGGCACGCCACCAUCGAGAGGUUCUUCGCGGAGAUGGCCAACGAGAAGCCCAUCCGGUUCACGCCGGGCCAGCUCCAAGGCUACACCAGCAACUACUCGUCCCGUCUUGGCGCCGGCGGGUUCGGCACGGUCUACAAGGGCGCGCUCCCCAACGGCCUCGCCGUCGCGGUCAAGGUGCUCCACGGCGACCACAACCAGCGGUCCGAGGAGCACUUCAUGGCGGAGAUGGGCACCAUCGGGAGGACGCACCACAUCAACCUCGUCAGGCUGUUCGGUUUCUGCUUCGACGCCUCCGUGCGCGCGCUGGUGUACGAGUUCAUGCAGCACGGCGCGCUCGACGCCUACCUCUUCAACCGCGCCGCCGGCGUGGGCUUGGCCACGGUGGCCGCGAUCACCACCGGCGUGGCACGGGGUCUGAGGUACCUCCACGAGGAGUGCCAUCAGAAGAUCAUCCACUACGACAUCAAGGGUGGUAACGUCCUCCUCGACAGAACCCUCACGCCCAAGGUGGCUGACUUCGGGCUCGCGCGACUGGUGGACCGGGCAGACACGCACGUCUCCAUGUCCGGCGUGCGCGGUACACCCGGCUAUGCGGCGCCGGAGCUGUGGAUGGGUUCUGGUGUGACGGAGAAGUGCGACGUCUACAGCUUCGGCAUGUUGCUGUUCGAGGCCGUCGGCCGGAGGAGGAACUUCGACGAGGCCGCGCCGGAGAGCCAGCAGUGGUUCCCUAAGCUGGCGUGGACCAGGUACGAGAGCGGCGAGCUGGUGGAGCUCGUGAUGCCGAGCAGCGGUGACGACCAUGGCGUGGAUGCUGUGGAUGAGCCGCAGCAACAGCUGUGCAAGGAGCUGGCGGAGAGGAUGUGCAAGGUAGCGUUCUGGUGCGUGCAACAGCAGCCGGGGGCGAGGCCGCCAAUGGGCGCUGUGGUGAAGAUGCUGGAGGGCGAGAUGGACAUUGCUCUGCCGCCGAACCCAUUCCGGCAUCUUAUGGACGACGUGCCGGUGGAUAAUCUUUGGACGACAAUGACGAGCAGCGUAAACACAGCAUCAGCGUCG